GAGCCCAUCAGUCCUCUUGGGAAAUCGGGUGAUCACAUGACCUUCGCCCCCAGCGGACUGGGAGGCCGUGCUGCUCCAGGGCACCCUGACCGCCGCCCCCCCCCCCCAUCACCGGGAUGGACGUUCUGCUCCACAGCCCACAGCCCUCAUCUGUCCACCUCGAGGAAGACGUAUUCCUGCACUUCUAACUGAUGUCCCAGGGAAAUAAUUAGAUGUCACUACUCCGACAUUACAUUACAACUUCCCUGCAGAUCCGGGAGGAAGGGGAAAUGAGUUACGGCGAGCAAACCAAGCUAAAUACAGUCGGUAAUUGAAAAAGUGGCCAAGGAAAUCAGGAGGGGAAACGCAAGCAACUCAGACCUAAACAGAUUAUCAAUCACUUCCUUUUAGGGCAAGCUCCACUGCAACUUAAUCAAUUGCCAUUGCUUCCCAAAUUCAAUAAGAAAACUGAUACUGUGGGGACAGAGGAGAAAAAAAAUAAUGUUAAAUGUUUACCAUCACAUUCUUGAUGGGCACUGGACAACAUCCCAAGUUCAACUGCAACUUUAUCAGCAGAAAAGAAAUUUACAAGUCACACAACUCAGACCUCAUGUUGGCAUUCUGAUCAGGGGUGUCACGUGUCAAGGGCGCGGUCUCCAGGCCCCGCUGGGAAGGACACUGAGUUUACUAGUUUACUAGAUGGUUCUGGAAGCUGGGCAGUCUGUCCCUCGGGGCAGUGGGGUUUGAGGUGGUGCUGGAGGAGGAGAGUCGUGUGACCUUGAGAGCUCCAAGGUCCUAAGUUGCUUGAUCCUAAGGGCUGUGGAGUCUGCUGCCAUAGCAACCUGGCGAGGAUAAACACUCUCACUCCUCUGGUUAAGAAACAUGCACCACCUACCUGUGGUGUCCCAGGUACUGGGGACACCAAGAGGAACAGAACCUGGUCGCCUCCUCGUAAUGUCCUUAUGGUUACUGUGGGGUGUGAGCGGGUGAGCAAAGGAUGACAGGGGACUCCUCAGAGGGGUCACCCACCUCGACUGGGGUGCGUGCAGGCAGAGUGCUGGAGGCCCUUGGAGGUUUGUCUGAGACAUGCGUGGGGGUUAAUGUGUGCAAAAGUUGGGAGAGACCACGGUGGUCAGGAAACUGCAGGGGCACAGGGCGUACUAAACAGACAGCCGGGCUGAUGCGGAGUGGAGAGGCAGGCAAGACCCCAUCAAGCAACGCCUUGGCGGCCAUGAGGCGCUUGGUUGCAAAGCCACCAAACUCGGCAUGAUCAACAUCACAGUUCAGAAAGAUCCUCUGAAUGGGUGAGGGGGUGGCCCGAAGGCAGAAGCCCCCUGAGAGCUGCCGCAGGCAUGGCAGCGGACAGCGGGGUUGGAGUGACUCAGAGUGGAUGUGCAGAGACCCGCCAGCGGUGGCACGGGGUGGUCCAGGACUAAGCCUCAGGUUUGGCACUGUUCCCCGGGAGGGGGUGGCCAGGUGGGGGUGUGGGGGGUAUCCUGGGCAUCUUGGACUAGAGACGCUGCCUCCCCACACUGCCCAGCUUCUCACUCCCAGCCCUGGAAACUGAAGACUCAGGCAAUAAGCAGAAGCUUCUCUGAGGAGCUCAGCAGACCCAGAAAAAUCAAACCCCAGCUAGAGCUCCAGGAAGACCUGUGCCUGAAUUCUGAAAAAUUGCACAAGCAAAAGAUGACAGCAACAUCCAUUCUGGCUUCCCAAACAGCUUUCAAAUGGGUGAUUUUGAGCUGGACGAGUCCUGGCACCCUCUACGGCCCCCCCUUCCGCCUCUGUGCCCAUCAGCCCAGUUCACUCAGGGCUGCUCCGAGGAGGCAUGGGGGCCACUAAGAGCUCGGCCUCGAGGGGGGCGCACUGGCUGCGGGAUCGACAGCAAAAGGUGGUGUUUCCAACCCAGCCGUGUCUGAGCCUACUUUCACUCCACUAGGCAUCUCCCAUUAUUCCCAGGGGUGCUCAAAAUUCUUAAAACAACAAC